UACGUAGGUGGCAAGCGUUGUCCGGAUUUACUGGGCGUAAAGAGCGCGCAGGCGGUCGUUCAAGUCGCGUGUGAAAGCCCCCGGCUCAACUGGGGAGGGUCAUUCGAUACUGAUCGACUUGAAGGCAGGAGAGGGUAGUGGAAUUCCCGGUGUAGUGGUGAAAUGCGUAGAUAUCGGGAGGAACACCAGUGGCGAAGGCGACUACCUGGCCUGUUCUUGACGCUGAGGCGCGAAAGCUGGGGAGCAAACGGG
rnacentral:rRNA from 1 species